rnacentral:rRNA from 1 species
GAUGAACGCUGGCGGCGUGCCUAAUACAUGCAAGUCGAGCGAACAGACGAGGAGCUUGCUCCUCUGAUGUUAGCGGCGGACGGGUGAGUAACACGUGGAUAACCUACCUAUAAGACUGGGAUAACUUCGGGAAACCGGAGCUAAUACCGGAUAACAUGUUGAACCGCAUGGUUCAACAGUGAAAGACGGUCUUGCUGUCACUUAUAGAUGGAUCCGCGCCGCAUUAGCUAGUUGGUAAGGUAACGGCUUACCAAGGCAACGAUGCGUAGCCGACCUGAGAGGGUGAUCGCCCACACUGGAACUGAGACACGGUCCAGACUCCUACGGGAGGCAGCAGUAGGGAAUCUUCCGCAGUGGGCGAAAGCCUGACGGAGCAACGCCGCGUGAGUGAAGAAGGUCUUCGGAUCGUAAAACUCUGUUAUUAGGGAAGAACAAAUGUGUAAGUAACUAUGCACGUCUUGACGGUACCUAAUCAGAAAGCCACGGCUAACUACGUG